CUUGUUAUUGAGGAAGAGAUCAAGUUGCAGAUGUCAAGUUGCAGAUGUCUGCUGAGUGCUAACACAGACGGACAAAACCAGCUUUGAUCCUGAUAUACUGCUGAGGAAAAACAUUGAUUCUCUGCCACAGAUCUACAACCCUGAGAGGAAUGGUGUGAUUGAUCAUCGAUGCCUGCAGGUAUGUGGUGCUGAAGAUCCGGGCUGCAGUGAGAGGUGAAGUGCAGCCAGAGAAAACCAGCACCGCAGCCUGUAACCAGGCAAAAGGACAAAUGGAUGGCAGGAGGAGCACUGAUGGGUCCGCCUUGAUUCCCCAACCGACACAGACAGUCGAUGUCCAAUUGAAGGAAGAGUGUGGAUCGUGAAAGUAAACUGAGAGCUUGAGGGUAGUGUGGAAGGUCUAUAAUGGGGAGACAAUAUACACACACACACUCACACACACACACACACACACACACUCACACACAGAAACAAACACACAUCCUUUUGCUCUCCUUAUUCAAUUAUAAUAUAAUCCACAUUGCUGAUUUGAUACAAAUUAUAUCUUUGCCAUUUGAUUUAAAGGUUCCUUCAUUGCACUGAAAUGCAAAUGUGUCCGUCUGUGUUCCCUCCAAUAUUUCACAACACUUCCAUUCAUAAAAACCCAGACAAAUAUAAUCUGAACUGCAUUGAACUCCCACCGGCUUCCAGCUCUCAGUUUUCUUUCCUGCUCGUUCUGCAUUCAGUGGAGGUAUAGAUAGUUGGCAGAGAGAAUGAAAGCCUGAUCACAAAUUCCCCAGCAAGGGAAUGGAUCAGUCUGGAUAAAUAUUGAAGACUCUGCUGAUAAAGCUAUGCCAAGUCAUAUAGUCAUGUAUUCAAAGACCUUUUCUCUUUGUCACUGUAAUGCUCCUUCACUAAAACUAAGACCAUAGUUCUUGUUUUCUCUUUG